rnacentral:rRNA from 1 species
GCGCCAUCCGCCGCGGUAAGACGAACCGUGCAAACGUUGUUCGGAGUUACUGGGCGUAAAUGGUGUGUAGGCGGUUCUCUAAGUCUGGUGUGAAAUCUCCCGGCUCAACUGGGAGGGUGCGCCGAAAACUGGAGGACUAGAGUGCGGGAUGGGAGAGUGGAAUUCCUGGUGUAGCGGUGAAAUGCGUAGAUAUCAGGAGGAACACCUGUGGUGUAGACGGCUCUCUGGACCGCAACUGACGCUGAGACACGAAAGCGUGGGUAGCAAACAGGAUUAGAUACCCUGGUAGUCCACGCCCUAAACGAUGCAUAUUUGGUGUGGGCCAUUCAUUUGGUCUGUGCCGGAGCUAACGCGUUAAAUAUGCCGCCUGGGGAGUACGGGCGCAAGGCUGAAACUCAAAGGAAUUGACGG